CCUACGGGUGGCAGCAGUGAGGAAUAUUGGUCAAUGGGCGUAAGCCUGAACCAGCCAAGUCGCGUGAGGGAUGAAGGUUCUAUGGAUCGUAAACCUCUUUUAUAAGGGAAUAAAGUGCGGGACGUGUCCCGUUUUGUAUGUACCUUAUGAAUAAGGAUCGGCUAACUCCGUGCCAGCAGCCGCGGUAAUACGGAGGAUCCGAGCGUUAUCCGGAUUUAUUGGGUUUAAAGGGUGCGUAGGCGGCCUUUUAAGUCAGCGGUGAAAGUCUGUGGCUCAACCAUAGAAUUGCCGUUGAAACUGGGAGGCUUGAGUAUGUUUGAGGCAGGCGGAAUGCGUGGUGUAGCGGUGAAAUGCUUAGAUAUCACGAAGAACCCCGAUUGCGAAGGCAGCCUGCCGCAGCGUUACUGACGCUGAAGCUCGAAAGCGCGGGUAUCGAACAGGAUUAGAUACCCGGGUAGUC
rnacentral:rRNA from 1 species